GGAUAGCCAAAUUGGUGGAGCAUGUGACUCUGAAUCUCAGUCUCGUGGGUUCGAGCCCCACAUUCGGCA